rnacentral:rRNA from 1 species
GUGUCAGCCGCCGCGGUAAUACGUAGGGUGCGAGCGUUAAUCGGAAUUACUGGGCGUAAAGCGUGCGCAGGCGGUUGUGCAAGACAGAUGUGAAAUCCCCGGGCUCAACCUGGGAACUGCAUUUGUGACUGCACGGCUAGAGUGCGGCAGAGGGGGGUGGAAUUCCGCGUGUAGCAGUGAAAUGCGUAGAUAUGCGGAGGAACACCGAUGGCGAAGGCAGCCCCCUGGGCCUGCACUGACGCUCAUGCACGAAAGCGUGGGGAGCAAACAGGAUUAGAUACCCGAGUAGUCC